GAUGAACGCUGGCGGCGUGCCUAAUACAUGCAAGUCGAGCGAACAGACGAGGAGCUUGCUCCUCUGACGUUAGCGACGGACGGGUGAUUAACACGUAGAUAACCUACCUAUAAGACUGGGAUAACUUCGGGAAACCGGAUCUAAUACCGGAUAAUAUAUUGAACCGCAGGGUUCAAUAGUGAAAGACGGUUUUGCUCUCACGUAUAGAGGGAUCCGCGCCGCAUUAGCUAGUUGGUAAGGUAACGGCUUACCAAGGCGACGAUGCGUAGCCGACCUGAGAGGGUGAUCGGCCACACUGGAACUGAGACACGGUCCAGACUCCUACGGGAGGCAGCAGUAGGGAAUUUUGCGCAAUGGGCGAAAGCCUGACGGAGCAACGCCGCGUGAGUGAUGAAGGUCUUCGGAUCGUAAAACUCUGUUAUUAGGGAAGAACAAAUGUGUAAUUAACCAUGCACGUCUUGACGGUACCUAAUCAGAAAGCAACGGCUAACUACGUG
rnacentral:rRNA from 1 species